rnacentral:lncRNA from 1 species
GACGAAUCUCGCAACGGUAAGCCUUCCUUUUUCUUUCCCUUUUGUUUUUGUUUUAUAACAGAAAAUAAAAAAAGAAAAAGAACCAAAUAUCCCACAGAUUUUAAAAAACAAAAUGAGAUACCUUCAAAAAUUCCUUCUUUUAUUUUAUUUCGUACCUUUUUUCUUUUUCAAUACAAUUUUUGUCUCUUUUACACUUUUUUCCUGAUCUCCCCCCUUUUACAAAAAUCCCUUGGCCUUUUCUUCUCACCAAAUCUUUUCCUCUCUCCCCCCUUUACCUUUUUGCUGUAUAUUCUGCCACUAUUCAUCAUUCGUUGCAGGUGUGCGGAGAACGUGCGUUGUGUGGGGCUACUGGACGUGCGGACAAGGACGUGAGGCAACGGGCGGUUGCUACAACGUGGGGACGUGCGACGCCAAGGCUAUUUGCUGCUUAGGGGUUUUUUUACCUCUGUUUUGUAUUUUGGGCUAGCAGAUUAUGACUAGCAAUUUGGGCCCUAUUAGGCUAAAUUAUUUGGGCUGCAUAAAUGGCUUUUUAGCCAGGCCAAAAUUGGCCUAUUACAACUGCCACUCUUUGCUCGUUAUUGUGUAACGAGAACGGAGCAAAGACUUUAGAAUGGCCAAUUUUGCUUGGCCGUGCUGGACUUUGGGUCUCUUCUUCUUCAAGUGGCUUCAUUCCAUCCUACUGCAUCCUCAGAGGUAUAGGAACUGGGGCUUCAAUCCACUCCACUGUAACGUCAGGGAGAUAAAAGUUGUAUCUUGUAGCUUCUCAAACGAAUAAAAUUUGCUAUCUUUAGUCUGCUCCACUAUAACCUCAGAAAGAUAAGACUUGAUACGAUCUGCUCUUCUGCAACUUCAAAAAGAUGAGAUCUGUCAUGGGGAUUUAAUCCGACCUACUGCAACUUUAGAGGUAUAGGAUUCAUCAUUUUAAUCUGCUCCACUGCAACUUCAGAGAGAUAGGAUUAGUUUCUUCUGUCUGCUCCACUGCAACUUCAGGGAGAUAAGACUAUAUGUGAUCUGCUCUCUACAACUUCAGAGAGAUAAGAUAUAUGAUUUUAAUCCGCUCCACUGCAAAUUCAGGGAGAUAGGAUUUUUCAAAUUGUUUAACUGCAAUGUUGGGGGAACCAGAUCCGCUAUCGUAGCUUCAAUCUGUUGCACUGCGCCGCCAGGGAAGUAAGAUCUGCCAUUGUGGCUUCAAUCUUUUCCACUAUAAUGCUAAAGAGAUAGGAUUCGCUGCCCACAAAUUCAAUCCACUCUACUUCAGCUAAUCCAAGCCUUAACGCCAGGGAGAUAUGAUCCGCCAUUGUAGCUUCAAUCUGCUCCGCUGCGACGCCAAGAAAAUAAGAACCGCCAUUGUGGCUUCAAUCUUUUUAAUUGUAACAUCAUGGCGAUAAGACUGAUGUCUUCGAUCUGCUUCGCUGCCAGUACAGGAAGGCAAGAUCUGUCAUUUUCGACCUACUCCACUGCUGUCCAGGGAGACAAGGCUGGUAUCUUCGAUCUGCUUCUCUGUCAGUACAGGAAGGAAAAAUCUGUUAUCUUCAGCCUACUCCACUACUGCCCAGGGAGACAAGGCUGGUAUCUUUGAUCUGCUUCUCUGUCAGUACAGGAAGGCAAGAUCUGCUAUUUUCACCUGCUCCACUACUGCCCAGGGAGACAAGGCUGGUAUCUUUGAUCUGCUUCUCUGUCAGUACAGGAAGGCAAGAUCUGCUAUUUUCAACCUGCUCCACUACUGCCCAGGGAGACAAGGCUGGUAUCUUCGAUCUGCUUCUCUGUCAGUACAGGAAGACAAGAUCUGCUAUUUUGAAGCUGCUCCACUACUGCCCAGGGGGACAAGGCUGGUAUCUUUGAUCUGCUUCUCUGUCAGUACAGGAAGGCAAGAUCUGCUAUUUUCAACCUACUCCACUAUCGCCCAGGGAGACAAGGCUGAAAUUUUACCGGUUUGUCCUCUGAGGAACAUGACCUGUAUAAUUCAACUUAUGAACCUAAUUAUGCCUAGUGAUUAGGAUAUCAUGAUCAGAAUGAAUCAAAUGCUCCUAACUAGACAUGUAUGAAUGACGUUUAAAUGAAUGCAGAAUGUCAUUUUUUUUCCGAGAAUGAUCCCGCUUAGGCAGUCAUUACUCAAAUUUUAUUAAGACCGUAUCACUGACGUGCUGCAACGCCUUUUGUUCGGAUCACAUCUCCAAAGAAACGCUUGAUCAAAUUGCCCCUCACUGUGAACUUCAACGUUCAAUCUACUGGGAUGCAACAUUGGUACCAUCUUUCUCCCGCUGUAACCCAAGGGUAGAAAAAAAAUCUAGCAUCUCAAUCUUCUCUUAUCGCAAGGUGAAGCACUUUGGUCUUUUAUACCGUUCUCAAGGUGUCAUACCAAAUGCCUAUGCACAAAUGAAGAAUUUCUUUCUUCGAGAAAACAUCUUCUUAUUACCAGGUGAUCAUUGCUUGCUUGUUCAUUGACGUUUUGUCACCAACACGACAUCUUGUCACUUUGUUCAAUCAAUGUUUUGACAACAAAAUUUGAAGGGAUAGUCUCAAAUUAGACCUUUCCUUCCCAGAUAUUUCAACCUUUAAACUUGGUGCGUUCUAAACAAUAGUCCUAUUUCAAGUUACUGUAUUAUUUAGAAACUUCUAGAGUAGUAUGCAAAACUUCCCUUGUGAAAGUUUUAUUAGUCCAUUGACCAUUAUUCUAAUGCAACACGUUUGCAAAAAGAACAAAAUAAAAGAUAAAAUAGAAUUGGUUUGAGAACAUAGCUUGAAAUGAACAUAUUAUCAAGAAUAUUAAGAAUACAAGAAGAAUUGACUCGUAUCUUGAAAAAGAAUGAAGUAUUCCAAGAACAGGCAAUUCAAUAUAAAUAGUAUGAAAACUAGGUGCCCUAGAUAACGCAGCUUGAACUUCUCUGUACAAAUUUCCUGAAGACCAUUCUGAGUUUGACAUGUGUUUAGGAUAUCUACAAUACUCUGUCGAUGCCCCAAGAUGUCGCAUACCCUUUCCUGCUGAUUAAGGUAUAUCAAGACCACCACAUGCCCCAUUCCAAUCAAAAUCUGAGCCACUCUGAUCACUUCCAGCCCUAUUCUGAUCAAAAUUUGAGCCGCCAUUUUUGGGUUUUCAACUUAAAUCUCCUUUGGUCUAAGGUGCCCUUUGCAGAUUUUCACCUUAGCCUCUCCAUUUUUACUUUUUCCAUUUUUUAUUUUUUAUUUUUCCAUUUUUAUUUUCACACAUUUUUCCUCUUUUUUUUUGCGACUCAAAGUGCCCUUUGCGGGUUUUUUCCUUGGUCCUCUCCUUCUUUAAACGAUGUAUUUCUUGACUAAUUCUGAGUUUACAGGAUUAGACAAAUUUUUACUAUCCAUCUCACUCAAGAUCAGUGCUCCUCCGGAAAUGGUCUUCUUUACAAUAUAAGGACAGUCCCAAUUUGGCACUCAUUUUUCUCUAAAAUCCUUUUGUAAAGGAAGGAUCUUUUUCAAUACCAGGUCUCCCUCGUGAAAUUCUCUGGGACGAACCCUUUUUUGUUGUAAGCUCGCAUCAUCCAUUUCUGGUACAUCUGGCCAUGACGAAUAGCUUUUAGCCUAUUUCUUUCAAUUAAGUUCAACUGAUCGUAUCGAGAUUGGAUCUUCAUCCAACUUCAACUCAGCCAAUACCUGAAGAGAAAGAAUUUUAACUUCAAUGAAAAAACCGUGAUAAGCUAAAGAGAAAGAUAUUACCCCGGUAGAGGUUUUUUUGUUUCUUUUUGUUUUUAUUUUUUCCUUUUUUUCUUUUUUUUCUUGCCUUUUUUUUUGAAUCUGCACUCAUAGUAUUAGGCAAGUCCUGGUCAUCUCUUUCGAUCAGAAUCAAUAUUAUUCCAGAUAAGGUCUUCCCCAUAAGAUCUUCCACUUUCAUUUUGUAUGCGAAAGAUCUUCUUUGGCAUCAGGUUUCUCUCAUAGAGCCUUUUGGGGCGAAAUUUAACUAUGACGAGAAAAUUUUAGAUCUUCCUCUUCAAUUAAGAUGAAAUCCAACAAAAAUACAGAAAAAUGACAACUUGACUUCAACGGGAUAAGCCAGAGAAGAAGGUAUUGCCCCGGUAAAGAAUUCUAACUGCAGCGUUCAUGAUAUCAAUCUUGAACAUACUGCAAAUUUUUAACGUCGUGCUAUUGCUCAGAUUACAAUAUCAGUGCUUAACCUGGGCAUAUCCUGCUAUAACCAUACAAAGACAUAUUUGAACUCUUGAAGUAACUUAACAAGGUCUUGCUUCGUUUAUCCGGUUAUGCAUGUUCUCUUAAAGUCACAAUCUCCAUUAUCUCUUCAAGAGGUAAAAUUUGUUCUCUUCUUGCUCUACCAUCCUCAACAAGUCUGGAGAUAGACUACGAUCUAUGUCAUCUUCAAAGUCAUGAGAUCCCUCUAAACACAUGUCUUGCUCAAAAUAAGAUUCUAAAUCUGUAGCAGUGUCAUUUUAAAUCAUUGAUAUCUGGGGGCCCAUAAUAAAUACCAAAGAAUAUACAAAAGAAUGUAUAAAUUUAUGAAGAACUAUCUGUACAAUAUGAUUAUGAAUGAAUAAUGAUGUGGAAGAAAAUCCAAAAGAAUGAAAGAAUAACUAUUCAGACAGACUGAAAGAAUAUUGGUUCAAAAAUGGUCGCAAGGAUGCAUUUCAUUAAAAUAACGACAUUUAGACAUGAGCCUACUUCACAAAGGAAUUCUUAUUGCCUCUAGGCUAAAAGCAACAAGUGUGUUUUGAACAUUGCUCUAAAUAAGCCCUAAAUACUACAAAUAUUUCUUCUGUAGUUCGAUUGCUUAAAACACUCCCAGGUUUAAAAAGGUGGAUAUCUAACAAGGUCCCUUUUCGAUUGUGUCUUCAUCUAUGACAUUGAUGUGAACGCCUCUCAACACUUCUUCAUGCAUCACAUUCACCCCAUUAUCAAAUGUGAUUAGGUAGCGGAUUUUCUGCACUGGAUGAAUCGUCAAAUUUGACAUUGCCCAUACUGAUAAGCCUUUCAACCACUUUUUUAAAGGCAAUGCAAUUUUCUAUAGAAUGUCCCGUAAUUCCUGCAUGAUAAUCGCAUUGUGCACUUGCGUCGUACCAUUUGGGGUACGGAGGUUGUGGGGGUUUUGAGUAGAAAGGGGAAACAACGUGCGCAUCAAACAAGCUUUGAUAUAGCUCCUUAUACAACAUUGGAAUUGGCGUGAACUGGAGUUUCUCAGUACCUUACUUUACACCUGAUUCUUGUCUUGAUGAACCCUGCUGAUUAGCAACCACUUUUCUUGGCUGAUUCACCGUAAUCGAUUUGCUGUAUGUAUUCACAAUGUUUACCUCAUUUCCUUUUUUCCUUUGGGGCUUGCCUUCUGUUAUUUCCUCCAGUAUCAAUCUUUCCGCUCCUUAUGGCUCUUUCAAUCAUUUCACCAUUCAUAACUAUGUCAGAAAAGCUUUUUGUGGCACUUCCCAACAUAUGUGUGAUGAAUGGGGCCUUCAACGUAUUUAUAAAGAGCAUUGUCAUUUCUCUUUCCAAGAGUGGUGGCUGAACUUGGACGGCGACCUCCCUCCACCUCUGUGCGUACUACCUAAAACCUUCAUUUGACUUCUUUUCCAUGUUCUGUAGGGUGAUUCUAUCAGGAACCAUUUUUGCUACAUGACUGUACUGCUUCAUAAAAGCCUGCGCCAAAUCCCUCCAAGAACUAAUCUUGGUACGGCUCAAUUGAUUGUACCAUUUAGAUGCUGCCCCUGUGAGACUAUCUUGGAAGCAAUGUAUUAAUAAUUGGUCGUUGUUAACAUACCCAGUCAUUCGCCUACAAAACAUGGUAAUGUGGGCUUCAGGGCAACUGGUCCCAUUAUACUUCUCGAAUUCUGGCAUUUUGAACUUGUGAGGGAGCACCAAAUCUGGGACCAAACUCAGUUUCUUAGCAUCAAUCCCACUAUAUCUCUCAGUGCUUUCUAUCGCCCUGAAUUUAUCCUCAACCCACUUCCACCUUUCUUCAAAUUGCUUUGGCAAUUCCUCUCUUAUUUUUUCUUUUCAAUCGCCUCAUCAAAGUCGGGGAUGAUAAGAUUGACAGGAUUAUUCUCAGGGCUAGAGCCUGAUCCAGUUUGGUAAUUCAUCGCCUUAAAGCAUCGGCCUGAAAUUGCUGAGGCCUAAUGGUAACAGAAGAUUUACGCGGGUACAUUUCCACUUGGGGCUGUACAUCUGGGGGAGUGAAGCUUGGAGGAUACAUGGGUCCGUCAUCACCUUCCUCCUUAACAUUGGCCAUGGGGCUCUUUCCUUUAUCUUUCCUUUCCGUCAACAACUGCGUUAACUUUGUCAUCAUACUUCCUUGAGAUUCCAUCAUUUUACCCAUCAUUUUCUCUUGAAUCUUCUCGAGCUACUCCUGCAUCUGCUACUGAAGUUGCUCAUGCACUUCUUUUUGGAACUGCUCGAGCUUUUCUAAUCUUUGAUCCAUAUUCUUUGAUUUCGCUCUUGUACCGUAACGGGGCUGGGUUGGCUGGUUGGUUUCCAGGUUAACUGAAGAAUAAUUUUAAUUGAUUAGACUCUUUUGGUGGAUUUUAGUGCAUAUGAUGCAAUGUAAUGCAAAUGCAUGAGAAAACAAUAUGCCAUACCCAAUGCGUUAGGACAUAACAUGUUGAAUUCCCGAAAAUGAUUUUUAUUUAUGCGUUUUGAAAAAGAAAAUUCUUGAUUAUUUAGGAUUAAUAAAGAAAAUCGAAAUCCAAUACGUUAGGGCUCGAUUUCCUCGAAAAUCCUGAAUAUCGAAUAUCACUUUUAUUUUAAAAGCCUUUGAAUUAAAAGAAAAUGAUUUUAAAGUUUUGACGAAAUCAAAAUAUAUAUUUUCUAAAAGAUAUGUUAAAAAAUGUUGAUGUAAUAUGAAACAAAUAUUUUAAUAUAAAUUAUAUAUGUAUAUGUAUAUAAAAAUUAUGGAAAAAAGUAAUAUAAAAACAUAUAAAAUAUAUACAUGAACCUAUAAAAGUUUAGAAAUAUACAUGUAUGAUAUAAAGGAAAAAAAAUAUGCGUAUAUACAUUAUAAAGAUAUGCGGGAAAUAUAUUUAUAAUAAUGUUGAAAAAGUGUACGAAUAUAUCUAUUAUAUAUAAAAAAAAUGUAUAUAUAUGUACGAAUUAUAAAAUAAGGAAAAUGUAUAUGAAUUAUAAAAUAUAAAUGUAUAUAAAAACCAUGUAAAUAGAAUAAUAAAAAUAUAUAUAUAUGAAAAAAAAAUGCACAUGUAUUUAUAAAAAUAUAUGCAUAUAUAUUAUAAAAAGAAAUACGUAUGUACAUGUAUAAUAAUAAUAAUAAAUAAUUCAAUUGAAAUUAAAAUAUUUAAUAGCAAUAAUAACUAAAAUGACUAAUUUAAACUUAAAACAGAAAUUCGGGGCAAAUUUGAAAUAAAUAAAAUGCGAAUGGACCAAUUAGAAUACGCAAUCAACAGUGGAGGACCCAAAGAGAAAUUUACCCAAACCUCUCAAACACUACGCAGCAACAUGGACCAAAUUGAAAUAGUUAUAAAAAAUGUGGCGAAAUUUAAAAGAAAUAAAAAAAUUAAUUUAAAAACACUGUAAAAGAAAGGGAUCAACUGCGCAAAUGGCCCAUUUUAAAGAAAUGCACGCGGGCAUGGCCCAUACGGCGCCUUUUUGGGGCCACUGGAACAGGCCCCAAACGACGUCGUUUUAAGCCCUAUAAAAACCCAAUUUUAAAAACCCUAAAUCAUUUUCCCCUCUCUACCAUUUGAAGCUGCGCCGCGGCAGUUCACCUCCGUCGUUCCAGUCCCCUCCCAUGUCUGACCUGAUAACGACGAAACGAGGACGCCCUCCGACGAAUCUCGCAACGGUAAGCCCUCAUUUUUCUUUCCCUUUUGUUUUUGUUUUAUAACAGAAAAUAAAAAAGAAAAAGAACCAAAUAUCACACAGAUUUUAAAAAACAAAACGAGAUACCUUCAAAAAUUCCUUCUUUUCUUUUAUUUCGUACCUUUUUUCUUUUUCAAUACAAUUUUUGUCUCUUUUACACUUUUUCCUGAUCUCCCCCCUUUUACAAAAAUCCCUUGGCCUUUUCUUCUCACCAAAUCUUUUCCUCUCUCCCCUCUUUACCUUUUUGCUGUAUAUUCUGCUACUAUUCAUCAUUCGUUGCAAGUGUGCAGAGAACGUGCGUUGUGCGGGGCUACUGGACGUGCGGGCAAGGACGUGAGGCAAUGGGCAGUUGCUGCAACGUGGGGACGUGCGGCUCCAAGGCUAUCUGCUGCUUAGGGUUUUUGUUACCUCUGUUUUGUAUUUUGGGCUAGCAGAUUAUGACUAGCAAUUUGGGCUCUAUUAGGCUGAAUUAUUUGGGCUGCAUAAAUGGCUUUUUAGCCAGGCCAAAAUUGGCCUAUUACACAUAUUAUGUGGGAGCAAAUUAGGCAAAUGAUGGAACAUAAUAUUUACAGAAACUGUUGGAGCAAUGAAUGAUCACAGCAUUUAUGCCAUAGUCUAUGAGCUACUUCUGUUGAGUUAUUUAAUACUAGAUGCCCAUUUCUGGAAGUGUUAGAAUGUUUCAUUCUUGUCUCAAGUGCCCUGUUAUUGUAUCUAUCCUAUCCUCUAGAACUAGAUUAUUUCCCAAGUUAUUUUUCUCCCCUCACUUUCCCUUCUAACUCUCUGCCUCCUCUUGCCCCCAUUUCCUUAUACGUCUAUCCUGUUUUCUUGACUCACAUUUGCAUAGGCCUUCUAUUUGUAUGUUGUACCAACUUUUGCUCCCAUUGUUAUCCUAAAAUAUUAAUUUGAGGUUCAAGCUGAACCUUCU